GCCACAUUCUUGCGCUAAGUGCGAGAGGCGGUGGGAAAAGCAAUCUCAAAACGGCCAAGAGCCGGCGAAGCUGACCCCGCGAUGGCAUUUUGUUUUGAGCAGUUGCUGGGGUUGACGUUUCCUCAUAAGAAAGAAGAAUUCAUCUGAAUUCUAGAAGACUUGGGAUAGAGUCCCAAGUGACUAAAGGUCACUUUCAUGAAUUCAAAGGCAGUUUAUCAGUGAUUUCUGGGUGCUGGGGCUGAUUUUUGUGUGUAAUU